CGAAGAUGUCAGUAUAUCCUUCGAUAGUUAAAGUGUUGGUGAUCGCGGAUCAUUUUUAUCUAAAGUGUUAUAAAUUUUAGCGACAAAAAAUCGAUUGUUAUCAGGAUAUUGGAUUGCAUAUUGAAUUGGAUUAUCAUUCAUUUCUUUUUGUUUCAUCAAUUUUGGGUUGCAGAAAGAUGGAAAGAGAAAAUUGAGCAUAAUAUGAGAUGAAGGAAUUGAUAAGGUAAGUGGAAAUUUAACAGAAAAAUUGAAAAAAAAAAUACAUAAGAGACGUAAACU